rnacentral:rRNA from 1 species
UACGGGGGGAGCAAGCGUUGUUCGGAUUUACUGGGCGUAAAGGGCGCGUAGGCGGUCAGCACAAGUCAGUUGUGAAAUCUCCGGGCUUAACUCGGAAAGGUCAACUGAUACUGUGCGACUAGAGUGCGGAAGGGGCAACUGGAAUUCUCGGUGUAGCGGUGAAAUGCGGAGAUAUCGAGAGGAACACCUGCGGCGAAGGCGGGUUGCUGGGCCGACACUGACGCUGAGGCGCGAAAGCCAGGGGAGCAAACGGG